CCAGCAUAUCUUUAUAGUCUUAUUGAAUGUGUAACAGGUGUUAAAGUCCUGUAUCCAUCAAAUAACUCAUGCACACAACAGACACACCUGCCUGGGGCCACAAUGCUUGAAACACAGCACCAAGGGCAGACGCUCACAGGCAAACAUCUGCUCUCCCCAUGAGGGUGAGAAACGUGUUGCCCGUCGGCAGCAUUCCGUCGUUAUCUCAACAACAUAAAUCAUCUUCUUGCUGAGGGAAGCUGUUAUUCUUACAUUGUCUGCCUCAGUGCAUUUGAUUUGUCUCCUUUUCACUACCUAAAUCAUUAUUGUUUUAAUUGUAUUUAUUAACAAACCACUCCCCCAAACCUUAAAACCUCACAAACAAGAGAAAUACACAUCCAGAGUAUAAUAAGUGCUUAUGUAAUAGUGAAUGGGACAUAUUGUGGCAGUAGAAAUGAAUCAUACUGUAUGGAGCUUCUGAUAUGACCUCGCCUUAUGAGCUUCAUACAGAAUGACUUUGUAAGAUCUAAUUUUCUUUUAUGUCCAUUAUUUGUAACAUUUUUUGGAUGCAGAAAGAAAACAUCAGUGAGAAGACAUGGUAAAUAUCCAGGGAAAGACCAUGCAACACAACAUACAAAACUUGAUGUGAUACACUAGAAAAACAAAAUUAGUCAUAAUAUUUCUAAUAACAACAUAUAGCAUUAUGGUGUGGAUGUGAUUAAUAUUGAACACUUUAUUGUGUAUUAUUAGGUGAUGGCCGAGGGCGUCACGGUGGCGUGGUGGUUAGCACUGUCCCCUCACAGCAAGAAGGUCCUGGUUCCACUCCGCCCAGUGGCCUUUCUGUGUGCAGUCUGCAUGUUCUCCCCGUGUCUGCGUGGGUUCUCUCCGGGUUCUCCGGCUUCCUCCCACAGUCCAAAGACCUGCUCUGGGGAUCAGGUUUAUUGGGGACUCUAAAUUGCCCGUAGGUGUGUGAAUGUGAGUGUGAAUGGUUGUGUGUCUCUGUGUAGCCCUGCGAUUGGGUGGCGACCAAUCCAAGGUGAACCCCGUCUCUCGGCCAAAGUUGACUGGGAUAGACUCCAGCCCCCCGCGACCCUGUGUGCAGGAUAAGCGGUUUGACGAUGGAUGGAUGUGAUGGCCCAGCCGGUGAGCAGUGCCCCCCGUGGCGAGAAACAGCCAGGAUAGGGCCACCAAGAGGCAUGGUAGUGGAAGGGCGGUACUACCCCAGGUGUCACUGAGUUCCCCUCCCAGGUGUUGGUAAUCACGCAGGCAAUCAGGACCUGUUUUAAACCUUCCUCCCAGGAGACACAAGGGAGGAAGCGAGCGAGCGAGACAGCAGAAUCGCGAGGAGGGUGAGACCAAGGGGAUGUUCCCCAAACGAGACGGCUCUAACUAAAUGCAUUCUCUCUCCUCUGCACCAGGAGGAAUUGUGAUGUCUCUGGCCACCCCGGUGAAGAGCUUUUUGAGUUAACGUUUUUUUCCCCUCCCCCAUUUGAAUUAUUGAUGAAUAAACCUUUGUUAACUUCACUGUGACCCUGCUUGUCGUCCGCCUCUCCUCUCCCCCGGACCACCACAGCGUGUGAUUUGGCAUGGUCGUAGCUAACACAGCAGUUCUUUACACUUGACAAAAACACCUUGUUCCACCUCAGUCCAUUUCCACAUCACUUGUCCUCGGAGCAGCCUGUACAACGGCGCUAAGACUGUGCUUUGCUGUGGCACAAAUCUCCCAUAGUAGUUCACAAGUCCUAAAAACGCCUGGAGCUCUUUAACGUCAGUAGGAGCUGGAGCCUCCUGAAUAGCCCUCCCUUUUUCCUGCUCAUCCAGCACAUGGCCCAGGUACUCUAUUCGAGUUUUGCCAAACUCGCACUUGGAGCGCUUCAAUCGGAGCACAUUUUCUUGCCAUUGCAGGGACCAUCUGAAGGUUAUGGAGAUGUUCCAUCUCUGUGUGUCCUAUGAGGUCAUCAAGAAAAACUACCGCUGGUAAGCCCUUUAGAUGUUCCAUAAUCCGCUGGAAGAUUGAUGGUGCAGAGCUAAUUCCGAAUGGAAAUCUGUUAUGCACAAACAAUCCUCUGUGGGUGUUGAUGAUAAUGUAUUUCUUGGAGUCAUCAUCAAGCAAACCCUGCUGGUAAGCUUUAGCUAAGUCUUCACUGAGUGACGUACGGCUUCAUACAGAUGCUUACUCUGCUUCUAGUUUAGCUUCAGUUUCCUUAGCUAAUUUCUGCCACACGGUAUUAAUCUAUAUCUAUUCCCUUUAACAACUAAAAGUGGCAAAUUCUCUGUUUGACCCUCCAUAGUCCACAUUCUCCCUCACUCCUCCACUCCUCCGCUCUCUUCACUGGUACCGGUGGCUCAUCCAGUUCUAAACACUGGUGCUCACGUACCAUGCUGUGAAUGGAUGGGGUCCAGCUUACAUCCAGGACCUGGUCCAACCCGACAUCCCAACCCGCACUCUUUGCUCUGCAUGUGAUAAACUGCUUGUUCCUCCUCACUGAGAGCAAAACACUCGACUAGAUCUCCACUCUUUGCUGUCCUGCUCCUAAAUGGUGGAAGGAGGUCUCUGAAGACAUCAGGAGCACAGAGAGCCUUCACAUCUUCAGACUAAAGACACACCUCUUCAGACUCUACCUCCACUAAAACACUAACUGUAGCACUUACAUUGGACUUUUAAUGGCUCUUAUCUAUAGCAAGUAAGGUGGUCUCUCGGGUCACUAAGGUGUCCUCCGGAUGUAAGUCUCCCCUGUUGAGACACGUGGUGUCUCACAGGAGACAGCUCCUCAUGACUCUGAACAACAGCAGCAGGGAGCUUAACGUCGUGUUCAGAGUCGACGUUGACGGGUUUGAUUUUGUUGUUUUUGCUUCGACUGAUGACUUCAGGUGUUCUAACUGUGGGAAAGAGGGACAUGUCCAAAGAGGACCGGAUCUUAUAAGGACCAGCAAGGAACUGAGAGGGGCAGGGGAGACACAGAGGACAGAACAGAGGCACAGGGGUGGGGGACAGGUGAAGUCCAAAAGGGGAGAGAGGAGGUGUCAGGUGUGGUCGAGGAGGUGAGGGAGGAGGCGUCAAGCGUGGUCCCCGGUGUCAGGGUGGAGGUGAAGUCCAAGAGGUGAAGGAAGGGGGUAUGGUUGAGGAGGUGGGGGGGACCAGAUGUGGUCCGGUUGAGGAGGUGGGGACAGAUGUGGUCCGGUUGAGGAGGUGGGGACAGAUGUGGUCCAGGUGAGGAGGGAGAGUGCUGUAGAGGCGGGCAGUGGGGGGGACAGAUGUGGUCCGGUUGUGGAGGUGGGGACAGAUGUGGUCCGGGUGAGGAGGGAGAGUGCUGUAGGACCGGUAGAGGCGGGCAGUGGGGGGGACAGAUGUGGUCCGGUUGUGGAGGUGGGGACAGAUGUGGUCCGGGUGAGGAGGGAGAGUGCUGUAGAGGCGGGCAGUGGGGGGGACAUGGAGGGUUCUGAGGAGCAGCUCAAAGCCCCUCAGCUGAAGAGGAAGAAGAAAGGAAAAGGUGGAAACUCGCAGUCCAAAAAAGCAGCAACAAAAGAAGCUGGAGGUGCUGACGUAUCUGACUCUAGUGAGGAGGGGACUCUGGGUCCUGCAUGGAGGACGAGUCUCCUGCUGAAAGUGAGUCCUCUGAAUGCAGAGCUAGCAGGAACUCUGGAGAAUCCAGUGUGGAGAAAAUAAAGAGUUUCCUGAAAGCCUCUAAAGGUGUAAGAGGAGUUUAGAAGAGAUUAGAAGACUACUUCUCUGACAAAGAGGCCUGGUCGGUGUUUACAUGCCGGUGUUUACAUGCCGCCGGCGGGCAACGUGCACGAGGCUCAGCGGACACUCGCCGACCAGAUACGGCGUGUGGAGCGGACCAACCCAGACUCUUUAGUUAUUGUCCUCGGGGACUUUAACAAAGGAAAUCUCACCCAUGAACUUCCUAAAUACAGACAGUUUAUUAAAUGCCCCACCAGAGAGGAGAACACGCUGGAUCACUGUUACACCACAGUAAGCAGGGCUUAUCACGCCGUCCCUCGUGCUGCACUGGGAAACUCUGACCACGUCAUGGUCCAUCUGAUUCCUGCAUAUAGGCAGAAACUAAAGCUCUGCAAACCUGUGGUGAGGGAAUUCAAGAAGUGGACCAGUGAGGCGCUGGAGGAUCUUCGGGCGUGCUUUGACUGCACAGACUGGGAUGUUUUCAGGACUGCUACUGACAGUCUGGAUGAGUUCACAGAGGCUGUAACUUCCUACAUCGGCUUCUGUGAGGACAGCUGUGUACCAUCAUGCACCAGGGUGAGUUACAACAACGACAAACCCUGGUUCACAGCGGAACUCAGAACACUACGCCUGCAGAAGGAUCAGGCAUUUAGGAGUGGGGACAAAGACUUGUACACAGAGGCAAAAUACAAGUUUAGCAAGGCGGUGAGAGAUGCUAAACGACUGUACUCUGAGAAACUCCAACAACAGUUCUCAGCAAGUGACUCUGCUUCGGUUUGGAGAGGCCUCAAACACCUCACUAACUACAAGCCAAAAACCCCCCACUCCAUGAAUGACCUCUGCCUGGCAGACGAGCUGAAUGAGUUCUACUGCAGAUUUGAAAGACAAUGUCCUGAUCCCAUCCCCCACAGCUCCACCAACCUGCUGCAGUCCCCCUCCCCUCCCUCCCCCAGCCCAUCAGGUGCUCACGCCUCUUCAACUAUAUCACCUUCCCUUCCCCCACCAGCAACGACCCUCUCUAUUCUGGAGAGAGACGUUAACCGGCUCUUUAGAAGACUAAAUUCCCGUAAGGCAGCCGGUCCGGGACUCCGUCUCCCUUCACACCCUGAAGCAUUGUGCUGACCAGCUGUCUCCGGUGUUCACUGACAUCUUCAACACCUCCCUGGAGACAUAAUAUGGCAUCCAUUGUAGUCUGUCCAUCUGAGUGGGAUCCCUCCUCUGACGUUCUCCCUAAGGUUUCUUCCCUUUUUUCCCUCUUGUAAGGGUUUUUUCAUUUUUUGGGGAGUUUUUCCUGUGCCAAUGGUGGGUUUCGGGGCAGAGGAUGUUGUAUGUGUACAGACUGUAAAGCCCUCUGAGGCAAAUUUGUAAUUUGCGAUUAUGGGCUAUACAAAAUAAAAUGACUUGACUUGACUUGACAUGCCACGUACCAGCCUGCUUCAAGGCCUCCACCAUCAUCCCUGUCCCCAAGAAGCCCAGGAUCACAGGACUCAAUGACUACAGGCCCGUCGCCCUGACCUCUGUAAUCAUGAAGUCUUUUGAACGGCUAGUCCUGACCCACCUGAAGUCCCUCACCGACCCCCUCCUGGACCCCCUGCAGUUCGCCUACAGAGCCAACAGGUCUGUGGACGAUGCUGUCAACAUGGCCCUCCACUACAUCCUCCAGCAUCUGGACUCCCCAGGAACCUACGCCAGGAUCCUGUUUGUGGACUUCAGCUCUGCUUUCAACACCAUCAUCCCGUCUCUGCUGCAGGACAAACUCUCCCAGCUGCACGUGCCCGACUCCACCUGCAAGUGGAUCACUGACUUCCUGUCUGACAGGAAGCAGCACGUGAAGCUGGAGAAACAUGUCUCAGCCUCUCGGACCAUCAGCACCGCUUUCCCCUCUACUCUUCUCCCUGUACACCAACAGCUGCACCUCCAGCCACCAGUCCGUCAAGCUCCUGAAGUUUGCAGAUGACACCACCCUCAUUGGACUGAUCUCUGGUGGGGACGAGUCCGCCUACAGGUGGGAGUCUGACCAUCUGGUGUCGUGGUGCAGCCAGAACAACCUGGAGCUCAACGCUUUAAAGACAGUGGAGAUGGUUGUGGAUUUACGGAGGAACAGCGCCCCACCCUCCCCCAUCAGCCUGUGUGACUCCCCCGUCACUAUUGUGGACUCCUUCCGUUUCCUGGGCUCCAUCAUCACCCAGGACCUCAAGUGGGAGCUGAACAUCAGCUCCAUCACCAAGAAGGCUCAGCAGAGGUUGUUCUUCCUGAGGCAGCUGAAGAAAUUCAACCUGCCAAAGACGAUGAUGGUCCACUUCUACACGGCCAUCAUGGAGUCCAUCCUCUGCUCCUCCAUCACCGUCUGGUACGCUGCAGCCACAGCCAAGGACAAGGGCAGGCUGCAGCGUGUCAUCCGCUCCGCAGAGAGGGUGAUUGGCUGCAAUCUGCCGUCCCUGCAGGACUUGUUCGCUUCCAGGACCCUGAAGCGAGCUAAAAAGAUCGUGGCCCACCCCUCUCACCCCGGACAAAAACUGUUUGUGCCCCUUCCAUCUGGCAGGAGGCUGAGGUCCAUCAGGACUAAGACCUCUCGCCACACGAACAGUUUCUUCCCGUCGGCAGUCGGGCUCAUCAACAGAGCCGGUCCUCCACUGACUGACUAUAACAUUCCACGGUCACUCCCCCUUCACACUGCACAUGUCACUUUAACUGUAAUUUAUCACUUUGUCGUCACGUGUCACUUUGUCUCUUGUCUGUUACUUGUUCGUUAGUGCACUUUAUGCUUAAUAUUUUUCUUUUUAACUUUUUAAUAUUUAAAAUUUUAACUUUUUUCCCUUGUUUUAUACUAACCCAUAGCCUUAUUCUACUAACCCAUUGCAUUAGCAUUUCAUUCCACUUUAUUUUAUUAAUUUAUUACUUGUGCACUGUUGUCUUGUCUGUCUACUGUCGCGCACUAACCGCCAAGACAAAUUCCUUGUAUGUUUGACAUAUUUUGGCUAAUAAAUGUUUCCUGAUUCCUGAUCCUGAUUCCUUCUCCGAGUCUGUCAGGUCCCAUAUGAGCAGUGCAGGGAGAGGAGGUCUCACUAAUCGGGAGGUCUUCAGACUGAGAAGCUGAUUCUGAAGGCUAGAGGAGAGACACAUGGACUUUUGGGCUCGGCGGAAUGCUGUGCUCCUCCGAAUCCACCACCCUGAGGUCCUGGACUGAUGGCCACACCUAAAGUGGACUCUUCUCCGGCUGGAUUCCGUCUGGCAGAGUGGGAGAGACCUGAGCAGUUUGGCCUUCAGCUCCUAGAAAAAAAAUAAAAACAUAGUUUAACCACCAUGCAGGCUUUCACGACAGUAAAAAGAAGUGUACACAAGUGGGUGACUGUGGGUGAGUGGGGAGCACGGUCGUCCUCCAAUCAGAGGGUUGUCGGUUCCAUCCCAGGCUCUGCUAACCCGCAUGUCGUUGUGUCCUUGGGCAAGACACUUAACCCAACAUUGCUCCUGUAGCUGCGACUACAGUGUGUGAAUGUUAGUUACUGAUGGCAGGUGUCACUGUGUGUGGUUCUCCUGUCAUCAGUGUAUGAAUGGGUGUGAAUGGGUGAAUGAUGUCAUCAGUGUGUGAAUGGGUGUGAAUGGGUGAAUGAUGUCAUGUAGUGUUAAAGCGCUUUGAGUGGUCAGAAGACUAGAAAAGCGCUAUACAAGUACAGUCCAUUUACCAUUUACCAUUACCAUGGCCUGACGAUCCAAGUUCUGGUUGUCCUCCCGCUGGCCAUGCAACACUGCCUGGGUCUUCAGCGAUAUGGUGAGUUGGCACCCAAAGAGGACCAGCGGAGCAUUGAGGUCAAGCUCUGUCCACGCUGCUGCCGGCUACAUAGUUCUCCAGUGGUGAGUACAUUUCUGAGUAAAGGUAAAAGAAGUCAACGAAGCCAGAGACCCAGCUGGAUCCUGGGCAAAAGCCGUUUUAAUAGCCAAUCUAUUUAAUAUGUCACAUAGGUGACGGUUUUACUGUGAGAGAGUCUGACGGUUUGUCUGAUGCUCAACUACUUGCUGGUUGCGGAUCACAUUUGAAACUGAGGGAAAUUCUAAUCACAUUACUGAAUAAUUCACAAAAUCUUUCAUAGUAUCAAUAUUGGGUCAGAUAUUUAAUAACACAUUGCUUCACUACAAUCAUGGAAAUAGUAUAGAUUAUGUAUCUUUCUUUGUUUCGUUUGUAUUACGUGUCAGUAAUGUCUGGCCAUAAAAUAUCAAAUAGACAAAAGAAUCAAGAAUGUUAAAUGUUUAGCAGAAUAUUACUUAUAUUUAUUUACACACCACGACAAAAAUGAAAAGGGAUCAGAUGUAGAGAUUCCAUCUUUAAUCUCCUGACUGAUGAAUCAUAAUGAAUCUUUUUUUUGCUACUCAGUCUUUUUAAAUGUGAGGCCAUAUUUUCUAAUUAAAUAAUCUUUCUGAUGGUUUCACUCAUGCCCAUUAUGAGAAUUGAAAAUUUGCAAGUGAAGCAACACAAAGGGAUUAGGGUCCUCUCACUUCUCCUCCAUCUUUACCACAUUGUUCCCAGAUAACUUAAUGUGCUCAAUGUAACGCAAACACAGGUUUUUUUGCCAAUAUCCUAAACAAUCAUUUUUAAGUUGCUGUGAGCCGUCAAAAAUAUUAUCCAGACUACUUUGUCAUCUAUAGUGGAUAUUUGCAUUUAACCGCAUUCUGAAAAGCCAUAAUUGUAGGAUGUUGAUGUUUUUUGAUUUAGUAAUUAAAUGAGGGUCUACCGCUGACCAAUCCGCUGUGCCCGACUACCGGCGUCACAGCAGCAGCCGAUCCCCGGCAGAGGCAUCGCCCCCACCGCGCUCACCAAGCGCCGCUUCACCAUCACUCUUUCUGACUGGAGGGCCUGUGUUUUCCCGAGGUCACGGAAGAUCAAUGUUGACUCCACGCUGUAAUCAUCUGAGGAAUAAGAUUAGCAUAUUUUAGCGGCGAUUGAGUUGUCUCACUGGCUGCAGUGGGGAGGGGUGAUUAAGGAUUGAUUGUCCCAGUGAGAGCACUUGUGAAAUUCAGGAGACAAGGAUGGAGCAGACUGGAAAAAGCAGAGCAGCAAGACAAAGUGAGGAGAAAACACUGAAUGGUUUAGAUAAAACAAUGAAAAUCUCUUCCAACUCUUUGAUUCAUGGGUUGUAGAUUUUGACAAUUUAAUACAUUUGUUAAUGAGAAUAAAUUUGGUUAAUUGGGUCAUAUUUCGGCAGUUAAGAUGAAGUUUGAGAAGCUAGGACAGUUCGGGGAAUAAUUUUUCAUUUGAUAAAAGGGAGGUCAGUGCGAGUGGUUGGGUCAACUAAAGGUUUAGGGUUUACCUUCUUAUUGGAGACCUUCGUCUGAGCUGGAUAUGGCUGUUAGAAAGAAAAUGGUGUUUGAACUUUGUCAGGAUGUAGAGGCCACCAUGUGGGGAAGACGUCCAUGCUCCCAUAGUGCCACGAUACACAUGAAUACACAUGUCCAAAGCCCUUUGCAAUGGAAGCAGAUGGCACCCAUUGGAGGACACGUGGGACGGACUGUUAACACACUGCUGGCUCUUUGCCAAGUACUGUCUUCAACUCGUUUGCUGUGCUGUAUUUAGUUCAACCAAACAAACGUUGUCUUGCUGUUUUUCAGGACUUCCCUUCCGUGUAGACUUAGCAGUUAUAGUGGAACUUAUACUAGGUUGCUAAAUGGGAGCAACUGGAGAAGCAGCACACGUUUGUGGUAACAAGAAGACAAAAGACACACACAUGUUGUUUAUCAUGUGAGUUGUAUUUCUCAUGCACCUUCCUCGUCAAAUAAAAAAAAGAAAACGCUCUUCAAACUGCUCACUCUGUGUUGCCUUGUCAUGUGUUUGCUCAUAAAUAUUCAUAAAGAAAAUCUUAAAUUGUCACCAGGGAAAACAGGGAGCUCGUCCACGUGGCGUUCCAGUUGUUGUCACAGAAUAUAAAGAGCCCAUUACUCCGUCUGUUUGAGUAGCUGUGAAUGUCAUUACGGAGUCCUCAGCACACCUCCAGGUGCGUUUUGUGGAUAUCCAGUGGGGCAAAGGUUACAUCACGUUCACUUAUUGGCGGCCAUUACCUGCGCACUCACACCUGCUCCCCCAGAUGCCAGUACAUCGGCCCAGCUCAUCAGAGGGUGACUGACAGAUGCCAGCAGAGAUUAGAUCCAGCUGAUUAAGGUGGAUACUCGUAGCCUGAAAUACGCCUCUGAUGCUCUCAGAUGUCAGCCAUGAAAUGAGACAGACACUCCAAAUGAGGGAACAGCUCAAGCUAAUAUCCCAUUACGAAUGCUGUUUACUCCGCUUUUCUUAAUUUAGCUCGGCUCCCGUGGCUGUCGGGCUAAUCUGUGUUUUGGAAAGAAGGAGCGCUGCCAGAAACAUUUCCCUUGAAACCUAAAGAGUUCCCAACGAUAAAAGCCGGCUCUGAUUGCCAUCCAGGCCCGAAAUAUUCCCCCCAGCACCGGGCCGAGAAACGGACGCGGAGUGGCGCCUCCUGCUGCCCAGGAGUGGCAAAAUGCAACAGAGGCUCAUUUCAACCGCAGAAAAAUAAGUGUGGCCUUUGUGCUCGGGCUUUUGGAUGACAUCCUCUACUUAUGGGUGAAAGUACAUAACCUUAAAAUCAGAAUCAGACAAUUUGGAUUGAAAGUAAAUGACCUUCAUAUGAGUUCUUAAUAACAGAAUAUCACCAUUUUUGAUGUCAACAUUAUGGCCACCAGCGGCCCUGAGUCUAUUCGAUAAUGUACGGAAAACGUUGCCAUUUGUGCACAUUAACGUGAAUUGAGUGUUCUAUGGUACUAUGUGAUGAAACGUAUAUAAAUAAUAGUGGGUCUUUCCAGAAGUUAACAUUGGGACACAAAACCGCCUACUAAGGUUUAAUGAAACGGAAAAAAAGCUUCUUCAUAUUUUCAUCGUGAACUCGUACGUGCUGUAACAAGUAGUUAUCAGGAUUAGUGAGGCGGUUUACGUCAAGUAAUUACUUCUUCAAGUAUGUUAUUUAGAUUGAUGUUUAACUCUUUUUAAAUCUUAAAUCUCUUGCUUUACGUUUGGACGUUUUAUGUCAAUCACUUUGAAGUGCCUUGUUGUUGAAAUGUGCUAUACGAAUAGAACAGCCUUGAAGAGGCCUUGAAGAGGCCUUGCCUCGGACAAAGCGUGCCUCUUUUUAGGUUGUAAGGGUUAAAAUAGUCAUUCUUAACAUUUGCUUGAUUCUGGUUUCAGAAGGAUGAAGACGGUUGAAGGGCUGUUAGAUCAAAAAGAGGCCAGGGGUCUUCAACUAAAAUGGUCCAGUUAGAGCAUUUGUUAUUGUCACAUAACAAAGAACUGAAAAUAUGUACGACUGCAAAGAUAAAUAAUGUUCUAUCAAUUAACUACAUAAAAGUAGGGCUCCAUUUAAGAUAGAAGUGUUCAAAGAAGAUAAGAUUCCCGCUUUUCUGCGUCACUUCACAGUCUCAGCAAAUUAUAAAUAAUAAAUCCCCAAAAAACACAUUCUAAUAAUUGAGUUUAAUAGAAUAUAUAUAUAUAUAUAUAUAUAUAUAUAUAUAUAUAUUUUUUUUUUCCUGCCAGGAUGUUAAUCCUGGUCUUAAUGCAUCGGGCUCAGUGAGCCCCUCCUCAUGUGGAGGAGGGUUUUAAUGGGUUCUAAGUACAUGAGACACUGGUUUAGUGCUGCAGUGGGAAGUAUGAACAGAAACCAGUCAGUCUAUUGUGGAUUAAAUGCUCUACUUUCGCUGUCCAUUGGUUCCUCAUUUUUCUCAUCGUAUAUCUUUCUUUUCUUCCUACCAUCUUUUUAUUUGUAAUUACCUCCAUCUCUCUCAUCUGUCCGCAGCAUAGAGACGACAGCGUCCUGCCUGGAAUGCAAGGACUCGAUUGGUCGCGUAGUAUCACAUGGGAAGGUUUAACUUGAAUGUAAUUGGUCGGUGCUUCAAGUCACUACCGUAAAGACGACCUAAGCUGCGCCGCUCGAAAAGUGCGCCGUCACGUUUAGACCACAACCGUCUCUUGUUAGCUGUGGGUCUGGGUCCGGAUCGGGCCAGUUAGUGACCUCUGAUGUAGACUAUUUGGCGAGUUUAUUUCUAGGCAACGCACAGGUCAUCAGGCAUUCAAUAACCAGAUGGUUUUAAGAAAGUCUCUAUAAAGUAGUUGACUUUAAGGACUCUCCCUCGGGGGGAAAUACGCCCCAGAGUGGCUUCUAGUUUUGGGUUGAGAUGUUUGCUACUUGAUGGCUAACAUUCACACCCUGUGUCACCAGGUCCACUGCAGACAGGGUCAGGGUGCAUGGGGAUGGAUAUACAACCCAUUUGUACCUUUGGGGUGUGAAAGUACCCAUGGUGAGGAUAGGUCAGCGGUAUCGGUAUUUGUGCUCAACAACUUGCUCCUCUAAUACGAACUCCCAGAUACGGAUUUUUUCUAUCAUAUAGCGUGGAAACAAACGACGAGGCAAAAAAUGCUUUUGGCUGCACGUUUAUUCCACCCAACAACAUUAAAACAAACAUUUACUUCCUGCUACUUUAACCUCCACCCUGGUUCCAGGGUUACGCCCCUUUCCCCAAAGGGGCGUGACCAUGGUACCAUGGUUACGCCCCUUUCCUUUAAAGGGGCCCCGUGAAUUCAGUCUCCCACAAUGUGACAUUAGUUAUUAGUAUAUAAUGUUAUGCUGAUACUGUAUGAAAGAAAGUUAUUUUUAUUUAAUUCUCAUUGGGGUUUGAUAUGGAAUCAUCUUUAGUGUCAUGACAGCUGGCGGGAUUCCCUCCUCUUUAUUGGAUUGUUUUGUGCUGAGCUCCAUUCAAUUCAUUUGCGGCCUGUUUCGCAUCAUAUUAAUUAUAAAAUGGAUUUAUGAAUGGAUUUGUAAUUUUUCACAAAGACGCAGUGCUGCUCCGGGUGGUCGACAUCCCUCCGUUGUUCCACCACAUCAAAUAGUGGGUUGCUGCUGUAUUAAUGCUCUGAAUGCUAAUUAUUGCUCCUUUUAACAGACAUAGACAACAUAUGAAAAUGGGGCAAUCCAUUCAUCAAAUGUUGUGGUAAAAUAAAAUGUAUAAUGCCUCAUCUAUCCAAGUCAAAUGGCACACAUUAAAACAUGUGAGCAGCACUGCGCCUCAUUCCCCUUUGCGCUAUUGUUCCUGUACCCAAGCCUCCCGGUGUUUGGCCUCUGCAACAGUCAAUAAUUGGUGAAUCAGACGCUGAAAUGAGGGGGGGGGAGGCUGACAGCACGGCGAUGUUCGCUCCGUUUUAGCCUUUAGAUCUGCCAGCAUGUAACACAAAGUGACAGGCAAAGCCGACUCCAGAAAUCAAAGCCUCCUUUAGCUUCCACAUUCUGCGAAUGGAACUAUUGGAGUGGCUUAGAAAAACUUCAAAGCCAGGGAGAAGGGGACUUUUUUUAAUUUCAGAUAAGGCCCCGGAGCUGGAUGUGAACUGCUGGAAUUGUAGAAGUUCACAUCUUAAUCGACGUGACCAGCUGAAUUGAGGAGUGCAGAACUCAUCUUCCGAGUCCUGUUUUUUCUCUCCCUCCUGUUUUUUUAUUUGACUUUUAAAAUAAAUGGUAUAAUCGAAAGAUGUUUCCAAACCUUGAAGGGACGAGCGACUGAGAGUGAGUUUGUAUUGAUUUGAAAAGAGCUUUGGUUGGCUUGAAAUUUACUUGCUUAGUUAAGCUGCAGUAGGAUCAUCAGCUCCAUUGAUUUUAGUGGGAUGCUGUUGUCAUUAUCAAGUGGAGAUAAUCUCUCCUAAAUCAGCCUUGCUGCGUGAGCAGGAACUCCUUUAAUGUGUUGAGCUAUUGACUCUAGUCUGUUCUGUGUGUGACUCUGUGGUUGUGUGCACACGGUGUAACCCACUUACGUCUUUCCUUGUACUGGAGGUCCAACCCAGGAACAAAGGCCAGUGUCAUAUUGUCACAUAAAUGAUCCCGGCGAAGCAGGUCGGCCAUGCAGGGUGCAGUGGGCUGACACUGACGUAUUACUCACAAUAUGUGCUCCCACAAAGACUUGAGAUCAAACAUUUUAUUUUUCAGGCCUGUGAGCAUGUAGUCAUGACUAUCUACCCGGCUCCGUUCACCCGAUAGUUAGAACAAUAACUAGAGGAAAAAUAAGAACCGGCCACGCACACAUUCUUGGUCGCUACGUUACUCGGAUGACGGACGGUGUAGAACCGUUGACUCACCCAACAGUCAUUGUGACGGCACCGUUUGCUUGGUGGACUCCCCUUUUGAAGCCUGGAGUCUGGCAACUUUACCAUCACCUUGUUGUAUUUUUUUGGCAGACAAUGAACAUUGUUACUAUGUUUUAAUAUGAAAGAGUAACGUGAAAGCAGCAGCGGUAACCUGUCAAUCAUUAUGGUCUAUUUGACUAAAUGGACCAUCAUUUACUAAAUGAACAAGAAGACUUGAAAUAAGAGACUGAAACCAUAAACUCGUGUUUAUGGAGGAAAUAAAUGGAGUUAUUUUUCAUGGACUUAGAGUCGCCCCCUGCUGGUCAGU
ensembl:lncRNA